AAUUUCCUGGAGAAAACUGUAAUAAUCUGAUUAUGUUUGGCUGCAUUUGGAUGGUCGCUAGGGACAAUUGUGAAUUUGUGCCUGGCUCAGCUUGUCUAGUUGUGGGCUUCAUGUCAGGCUAGCCGGUCAGGGCAUGGCUUGAUUAAAUAAUCCAGCAUGUUCAAAUUGAGCAUUUCUUGUGUUGAGACCAAACUGUUAGUUAGAGGCUCAGGUUUAUUUGUUGACAGAAUGCCGUUCAUUGUUUAUUAAAUGUUUCUUUUUCUUGUAAUCCAUCCAAGCAUAAACCGAGACAACCUUUUUUCCUAAAAAGUAAAACUAAUUCUUAAACUUUUGUUUUUUCAGGAAGUGAUUGACACAUCUGGAGGAUGUGGCGCAAGUUUUGUAGUUGAGAUUGUAUCAGCACAAUUUGAAGGGAAGAGGCUGCUGGAGAGGCACCGGCUUGUGAAUUCAACCCUGGAAGAGGAGAUGAA